GUAUUGAUUGCGUGUUAUCGCAAAAAUGGGGGUCAUUCUACACUUUUAAAAAGGGGUUUGUGUGAAAACGCAAGCCCCCUUCCUGGAUCGAAUCGAUCCCGAAGGGUGCCCACGCGGUGGUGCACAAGAGGGUGAGAUGGAUUUUAUGCGGGAGGACACGCUCUGGCGUGCACGACUUUAAAAAGUCAGCGACAGCCCUCGCAUGCCCUCACACAUUUUGUACGAUAAUGAUCCUUCCGCAGGUUCACCUACGGAAA
rnacentral:misc_RNA from 1 species